GGCUGUGUGAUGCUUUUGCCGGGGACAGAACAGGAAUGGAGUCUUAGAACUUAGAGCCUGACGUGGAGGUAUACAGCAACGGUGUGGGGGAGACCCGGAGGGAGACACAAACCAUAUAAUAAACCAGGAGCUGCUUGAAAUGCCACUGGAGUCAAGCCAGGUGUGUGCUGAUGAGCCCACUGAUGAAGGGGAAGGGAGCGCAACAACCUCUGCUGUGGUGGCCUUUAGAGGUACCUCCUCCACACCUGCCAAACAUAUGAUCCUCAUCAGGAAAAGAAUGAAGACUGGGGAGGAUAUGUUGGAGAAGAUAUUUCAGUCCUCCACAGCUGCUGACCAUGAACACAAGUGUUGGAGAGGUCACAUGAGGAAGGGCCAACAAUGGAGAGAGUGGUUGCAGCAGGAGAGGCAAAGAGACCAAGAGGUGCAUUGGGAAGUGCAUCAGGAUAUCAUGAGCUUGCUCAGGCAACGUACGCAGAUGUUAGAGCAUUAUCAAGCUAUAUGCUGAGAAAUCCCACUCACAGCAGCCUUUCUGAUCCAUGGAAAACUCCAUGGCUGCUGCUCCCUAUAUCCCCUAACGUAAGUGGCAGAAUGAUAUGAAUCCUUACCCCUAUCACUCCAUGCCAGGGCAAAACUAGGAGAACCAUAGGUACACCUACACCUGUGACGGAUAUUGCAAUCCAUGCAAUAUCUUUCGAGAACAGACUCUAUUAAGUUUAUAAAUGGUUUAUGUAACACGUGGGCCAGAUGUUGCAUGCAACUCUGGGUGGGGAGGGUACCUCAACUCCUCCAGGAACCAAAAACAAUGGGCAGUGAUUAAGGUGAAUCACUUAGAUACUAAUCCUGUAUGUACUGUUUGUAUGUUCUGAUUCAAACUGGGUUUUCCAGAGACCAAGAGAGAAAGGGCGUUUGCUAUAAAAAGUCUGGAUUUAAACUGACUCAGGGCCUUGGACAGGACCUUCUGUCCAAGAGGGGCCCCUAACCUUGCAGACGAGU